GAAAUCUGGUACUUUCAGUGCCCGAGUUGUAAUUUGUAGAAUUUGUCUUUGAUUAGGUCCUUGUCUAUGUUCCUUGGAACAGGACGUCAUAGAGGGUGAGAAUCCCGUUUGGCGAGGAUACCUUUUCUCUGUAAGACUUUUUCGAAGAGUCGAGUUGUUUGGGAAUGCAGCUCAAAGUGGGUGGUAAAUUCCAUCUAAAGCUAAAUAUUGGCGAGAGACCGAUAGCGAACAAGUACAGUGAUGGAAAGAUGAAAAGAACUUUGAAAAGAGAGUGAAAAAGUACGUGAAAUUGUUGAAAGGGAAGGGCAUUUGAUCAGACAUGGUGUUUUUUGCAUGCACUCGCCUCUCGUGGGCUUGGGCCUCUCAAAAAUUUCACUGGGCCAACAUCAGUUCUGGCAGCAGGAUAAAUCAUUAAGAAUGUAGCUACUUCGGUAGUGUUAUAGCUUAUUGGAAUACUGCUAGCUGGGAUUGAGGACUGCGCUUCGGCAAGGAUGUUGGCAUAAUGGUUAAAUGCCGC
rnacentral:rRNA from 1 species